AACCUUACCAGGUCUUAGACACUCCCGAUGCUUAUUUCUAGAGAUAGAAAGUUACUUCGGUACAGUCGGUGACAGGUGGUGCAUGGUUGUCGUCAGCUCGUGUCGUGAGAUGUUGGGUUAAGUCCCGCAACGAGCGCAACCCCUAUUGUUAGUUGCCAUCAUUCAGUUGGGCACUCUAGCGAGACUGCCGGUAAUAAACCGGAGGAAGGUGGGGAUGACGUCAAAUCAUCAUGCCCCUUAUGACCUGGGCUACACACGUGCUACAAUGGUUGGUACAACGAGUUGCGAGUCGGUGACGGCGAGCUAAUCUCUUAAAGCCAAUCUCAGUUCGGAUUGUAGGCUGCAACUCGCCUACAUGAAGUCGGAAUCGCUAGUAAUCGCGGAUCAGCACGCCGCGGUGAAUACGUUCCCGGGCCUU
rnacentral:rRNA from 1 species